rnacentral:misc_RNA from 1 species
UUGUUUAGGAUUACUGGGAGCCUCUCGAUCUGCAUAGAUUUUGAAACUCUUGAAAUAUAAAAAGGCCUGAACUUUUUGUUGAAUUUGCCUGAACUCUUUUUUUUUUAAUACAAAAAGGAAAAAGCUCUAGUGAUAUUUGACUUUUAUUGGGGGCCUUCCAAAUAAAACAAUUUUUUUUUAA